rnacentral:rRNA from 1 species
AGUGAACGCUGGCGGUAGGCCUAACACAUGCAAGUCGAACGGCAGCACAGUAAGAGCUUGCUCUUACGGGUGGCGAGUGGCGGACGGGUGAGGAAUACAUCGGAAUCUACUUUUUCGUGGGGGAUAACGUAGGGAAACUUACGCUAAUACCGCAUACGACCUACGGGUGAAAGCAGGGGAUCUUCGGACCUUGCGCGAUUGAAUGAGCCGAUGUCGGGUUAGCUAGUUGGCGGGGUAAAGGCCCACCAAGGCGACGAUCCGUAGCUGGUCUGAGAGGAUGGUCGCCCACACUGGAACUUAGACACGGUCCAGACUCCUACGGGAGGCAGCAGGGGGGAAUAUUGGACAAUGGGCGCAAGCCUGAUCCAGCGAUACCGCGUGGGUGAAGAAGGCCUUCGGGUUGUAAAGCCCUUUUGUUGGGAAAGAAAAGCAGCAGGUUAAUACCACGCUGUUCUGACGGUACCCAAAGAAUAAGCACCGGCUAACUUCGUG